GGUCCCGCCACAACCCCGCCCUAGCGGACAUGUCUGAGCACACCCGCCCAACUCAAAUACUCCGCCUGGCCCCGCCGGCCUUGCCAACAUUACUUGUAUGCUUGUUCAAUGCUAUUCUGCGAUUUACAGCACCAUCGGCCGACCUCGACCAAACCGGGUGCCGGCUGGGACCCGCCACCAACCCCGCCCUAGCGGACAUGUCUGAGCACACCCGCCCAACUCAAAUACUCCGCCUGGCCCCGCCGGCCUUGCCCAGUGCUCGUAUCUUAAGAAGGCAGGUGCGGCGCCAGUGACAGAUUUCCGGAAAAAGGCAUCUUUGAUUUUCAGAAACCCGCUGCCGCCGCAUCUUUGUUCCCCAAAAAUUUUCCGGGGGCUCUGCCCCCGACCUAUGCACGGUUCGUGUCAGGCCAGGGGGGGGGGGGCCAGGGGCACGCCAUGGCUGGUACUGAGCAUCCGGUGUACUGCCAAACAAGGUUGUCCUGUUGCAGCGUGCCACAUGCGGCUGCAGUUGCCCCCAGCCCACGUUCCGGCUCCGGCACAGCAAAAUAUUCCGCCGCACGGCAUGCGCCAUUGUUACAGCGUGCGGGGUGAGGUUGCUGUUGCCCCCAGCCCAUGUUUCGGCUCCAACGCAGCAAAAUAUUCCGCCGCACGGGAUGUGCCCAAGCGGGUCCCACUCGCGCACGGCCCUACGGGCCGGUCGUGUCCCCAGCCCAAUACCUUUCCUACAGCAUCUUAUACCACACAUAAGGUCAUUAGAGUAACCCGGGGGCAUUGAAUCGAGCCGGGGCCGACCUCGAACAUCUAAAUGUCGCGUUCGCCAGGACACGCCAUACCAGGCCAGACAGUAGCCUAACUACACCUAUGCAUAUAUCUGUGUUGACGGCAAUCGAGAACGCCCCAAAACAACGCCUAUGCAGGAUGUUGGCUUUGGUCAACUUCGCGACUUGAGCCUCGACGAGCACGUUUUAGCCUGCUGUCAAGCGCUAUUGCUCCAACAGAUUGCAUGUAACAUAUACAUUAAGUGGCGGAGUCUGUAUCCCGCUCUGCAUUUUUCUCGGGGCGACGUCUCCUGGCCUCCUCGGCGUGCGGGUUUGGCUGGGGAAACGCACCCCCCGGACGGCACGCGGUGAAACCCCCCUGAUAGAUUGUCCUUCAAGCAUCAGUAAGCGACGACGCGAUGCGAGGCGAUGCGAGGCGGCUUCCAUGAAGGACAAUCUACCAAGGGGUUUUGGUGCCAUCCCGUGGGCGCCUCCCUGGGGACACGCUUUUUCCUGGAGUGGGACCCGCUUGGGAUGUGCCAUUGUUACAGCGUGCGGGGUGAGGUUGCUGUUGCCCCCAGCCCACGUUCCGGCUCCGGCACAGCAAAAUAUUCCGCCGCACGGCAUGCGCCAUUGUUACAGCGUGCGGGGUGAGGUUGCUGUUGCCCCCAGCCCACGUUCCGGCUCCGGCACAGCAAAAACUUCCGCCGCACGGGAUGUGCCAUUGUCACAGAGUGCGGGGUGAGGUUGCUGUUGCCACGUUAACACUACGUUGGUGAAAAAAGCACCGGCUCCAUGGCUCCAUGGCAAAUCGUGGCCCAUCCCCACGCCAAACCCCAGCGCCCUCACCCAUGCUCAGCAUGCUCACUCACCCACGGCAUGACUCCCCUGGUAGAAGGCUGACCUAUCGUGGUGUGCCCCCAUGGUACCAGCAGGACACGCCGUAGAUUAUCUAGGGGAACCUCAGUCACCCUUGCCUUGGGCCCGGACAAGUGACAGAAACGCCCCAAAAUGUCUUCUGUGAUUCUCAGAAAGACCCCUUAAAAUCUGAAGCGUUUUCACAGAUUUUUGGCCACAGGAAUCAAAAAUUUCUUCCGCCGGAGGCUAUUUUGGGCAAAUUUCUGUCGAAAAGAAGGAAGAUACGAGCACUGGCCUUGCCAACAUUACUUGUAUGCUUGUUCAAUGCUAUUCUGCGAUUUACAGCACCAUCGGCCGACCUCGACCAAACCGGGUGCCGGUUGGGACCCGCCACCAACCCCGCCCUAGCGGACAUGUCUGAGCACACCCGCCCAACUCAAAUACUCCGCCUGGCCCCGCCGGCCUUGCCAACAUUACUUGUAUGCUUGUUCAAUGCUAUUCUGCGAUAUACAGCACCAUCGGCCGACCUCGACCAAACCGGGUGCCGGCUGGGACCCGCCACAACCCCGCCCUAGCGGACAUGUCUGAGCACACCCGCCCAACUCAAAUACUCCGCCUGGCCCCGCCGGCCUUGCCAACAUUACUUGUAUGCUUGUUCAAUGCUAUUCUGCGAUUUACAGCACCAUCGGCCGACCUCGACCAAACCGGGUGCCGGUUGGGACCCGCCACCAACCCCGCCCUAGCUCCCUGGCAGUGCACGGGGGCCAUACCUUGCGCCUGGGUGGGCAUGUGGAGAUGUUUGCCGGGUCCGCAUUUCGUUAGGAUUCGGGCUACCCCCACUUCAAGGCAGCUUUUGUGAGGUCACUUGGGACCAACUAUAUGAUGAUAGGCAAAUGGAGGAACCG
rnacentral:lncRNA from 1 species